rnacentral:rRNA from 1 species
GACGAACCACACAAACGUUAUUCGGAAUUACUGGGCUUAAAGGGUGCGUAGGCGGCGCAGAAAGUAGGGUGUGAAAUCCCUCGGCUCAACCGAGGAACUGCGCCCUAAACUACUGUGCUCGAGGGAGGUAGAGGUGAGCGGAACUUAGGGUGGAGCGGUGAAAUGCGUUGAUAUCCUAAGGAACACCGGUGGCGAAAGCGGCUCACUGGACCUCUUCUGACGCUGAGGCACGAAAGCUGGGGUAGCGAACGGG